GACGAACGCUGGCGGCGUGCUUAACACAUGCAAGUCGAACGAAGAGCGAUGGAAGCUUGCUUCUAUCAAUCUUAGUGGCGAACGGGUGAGUAACGCGUAAUCAACCUGCCCUUCAGAGGGGGACAACAGUUGGAAACGACUGCUAAUACCGCAUACGAUCCGACCUCGGCAUCGAGGAUGGAUGAAAGGUGGCCUCUAUUUAUAAGCUAUCACUGAGGGAGGGGAUUGCGUCUGAUUAGCUAGUUGGAGGGGUAACGGCCCACCAAGGCAAUGAUCAGUAGCCGGUCUGAGAGGAUGAACGGCCACAUUGGGACUGAGACACGGCCCAGACUCCUACGGGAGGCAGCAGUGGGGAAUCUUCCGCAAUGGACGAAAGUCUGACGGAGCAACGCCGCGUGAGUGAUGACGGCCUUCGGGUUGUAAAGCUCUGUUAAUCGGGACGAAAGGUCCUCUUGCGAAUAGUUAGAGGAAUUGACGGUACCGGAAUAGAAAGCCACGGCUAACUACGUGC
rnacentral:rRNA from 1 species